rnacentral:misc_RNA from 1 species
CUGAGUUGUCUCUUCUUGAGACCCUCUCACACUUGCAUUGUCACAAUGUUGCUUCGGCGGAGCGCAAGCAAUUGCCGCUGGCUCUCGAGCAAGCGCGUCUCCGCCGAAGACCUCAACUCUUCCAAUUUUUGAAGUCAAUAUUACAAAAAAAUGAAACA